CAGCCGCCGCGGUAAUACGUAGGUGGCAAGCGUUAUCCGGAAUUAUUGGGCGUAAAGAGUGAGCAGGCGGCAGGUUAAGUUUGAGGUUAAAGCGUGGGGCUCAACCCCAUAAAGCCUUGAAAACUGAUCAGCUAGAGUACGAGAGAUGUGAAGGGAACUCCAUGUGUAGCGGUGAAAUGCGUAGAUAUAUGGAAGAACACCAGUGGCGAAGGCGCUUCACAAGCUCGAAACUGACGCUCAGUCACGAAAGCGUGGGUAGCAAAUAGGAUUAGAUACCCUAGUAGUCCACGCUGUAAACUAUGAGAACUAAAUAUGGCCGCGAGGCAGUGUUGAAGCUAACGCAUUAAGUUCUCCGCCUGGGGAGUACGGUCGCAAGACUGAAACUUAAAGGAAUUGACGGGGGCCCGCACAAGCAGUGGAGCAUGUGGAUUAAUUCGACGCAACGCGAAGAACCUUACCAAGAUUUGACAUGGGAACUAAAGCCCUAGAAAUAGGGAAAUAUCAGGUCUACACAGGUGGUGCAUGGCC
rnacentral:rRNA from 1 species